CAUGAAGUCGGAAUUGCUAGUAAUCGCGGAUCAGCAUGCCGCGGUGAAUACGUUCCCGGGCCUUGUACACGCCGCCCGUCACACCAUGGGAGCCGGUAAUACCCGAAGUCAGUAGUCCAACCUCGUGAGGACGCUGCCGAAGGUAGGAUUGGCGACUGGGGUGAAGUCGUAACAAGGUACC
rnacentral:rRNA from 1 species